UGGCGGCGGCAGCGGUGGCGGCGAGAGAGGAGGAUGAUGAACAUUAGCUCCUUCAUAAUUUUUUAUUUUUAAUUUUCUCAUUUUGAUUUGAAUUUUGAAAUAUGGAUUUGAAAUUGUUGUUAGAGACAAGAUUUGAAUUUGAAUUUGAAUUAUUAGUUAUCCUUGAUUUUUGGUUUCUUUAUUAAUGUGAAUUGUACUAUUUUUGUAAUAUGAGUCCUAAUUAUACUCUUUUUGUAAUUAUUUAGUUGAUGCAUUUUUCUUGUAAUUUCUUUCUAUUUGUUGUAUACUUAUGUAAAGGACCCUAUUAAAUAUCUAUUUAUUUUAUAAAGGGAGGGUAGUAAAAAUAACGGUAUCUCUUGAAUCUGUGUUACAUCUAAAUUCUAACUUUCUUUCUUUUUCUCCUUUCUCUUGUAUACUUAUAAUCUCUCUGUUUUUCUCCUUCCCCUUGUAUACUUAUAAUCUCUCAGAUAUUUUCUAACUCAUAUUUUAUAAUUUCUAUUUAAAAUUUAUUUAUUUAUUUUAAUUGCGCACACAAAGUGUAUGCCACAAAUACUAGUGGAAAUAAUAUGAUUAGAAAGAACUAACAAAUAGGAAAAAAAAUACUAUUUAAAAAACCAAACGUAUGUUAUAAGGCAAGAAUGUACAAAAGGUUUGUGGCCUGCAGUCUGGUCUUGGUCCGAUCUAGUAGAGGCUUGAACUAGUCAGGCCCAACUUAGAAAGUUUGAAAAGGCUUCCCUUUUAGUAUAGAAAUUUGGCAUGGACCAGCCUGGCCAAAAGCCCAACCUAGACUGACCUAUGGCCUGAGUCCAGCCUGGUUAGGCACAACAUGGCUGACCUACUUUGUUAGCUUAUUAGUUGCUACCUGUUGUGAGAUGUCCUGUCGUCGACGAAUAAGCUUUCAUUUUCAGAUUUCUUUGUUCUUGUAUGUGUAUUUGAGAUCCGGAGGUGGGGGACACUAGAAAGAAAGAGAAAGGAGAGUAGUUGAGUAGCUCUACGUUAGUAGAGUAACUCUGCUUUAGUUAAGGCUGAAGUCACUCUAAACUCUACGAUUUAAGUAAUGACUCUACAAUUGUUAAGUCAUUACUCUACGAUCUAAGUCAUGACUCUACGAUCUUAACGAUCGUAGGGUCCAUAUAUCAUCUAUUACUAAGAUUUGCCUCUGUUUCAUCUCAACCUGAGAAGUCGAAAAGUUACCUAAUGUUAAUGUCUCAUUUGACAUGGUGGUCCAUGAUCAUGGCAACCAUCUAUGGAAACACAAUUUUCAGAUAGAGCAUAGGCCUCAACUUGUCAUAAUUUCGUGGGAGAAGUCUGGCCUGGUCUGGCGAACCCAAAGUCAAGGUCUAGCAUAGUUUGAUCAACGACAAAGGUCUGGCAGGCCGGACCAUGCCAGCAUGUUGUGCACCUCUACUAUAAGGAGGAUCAUCAUUCAUUCAGUACUUAUUAAAUCAAUCCAACCAUUAUAAAAAUGUCGUUGGCCUGCCGCAUACUUGUGGGACUCGCCUAAUGAAUCUGCGUUGAUUGACAUAACAAGAUUUAUAUUAAAAUUUCAGUUUUUUUUUUAAAAAAAUGAUAAAAAUAUUCAUGUCUCAUAUCUUAAGGGCCCACCCGACGCCCCCUCAUAUCAAUCUGGUACAUUCAUAAAAUUUCUCUCAAAGUAAUGGCCUCAUUUCGAACUUAAAAAAAACAACUUAAUCACCAAGUUAGCCCUCACACAUAAAUGACUACCUAAUGAUCAUAAAAGUUGAAUUUGUCUCCUCCCUUUUGAUCACAUUUAUCAUAAAAUUGGCUUUAGCAUAUAUAGGAAAAAAGCAAUGGUGGUAUGAAUGUGAGAACUUCAUGGUGGUACAGAAGAAGUGGGUUGGAUUUUUUGGAUGGAAUGAUUCUAUGAAGAUACUCUAACUCUAAACAGAUGCUUGAAAAGAACAUAAAGACAAAAGUACUCCUCACCAUAAUUGAAGUUUUUAUAUGAUUAUGUGAUUAUGUUGCUAACCUUAUCAUAUACUCUUUCAUAUAUUCUUUUCAUCAUAAAAGAAUAAAUAAAGUACAAUUUAUAUAUAUAUUAAGAAAAAUAAAAAUAAAGAAAAUAGAGUAAAAAGAUUUCAAAUUUAUCCCUAAUAGCUCCACAAAAAUAUAUAAAAUGAUGAGUAUUUUUAUUUUAUAUACUAAUAGACCUUACCAAAUAACUUAGUUACCCUUCACUUUAUAUAUUUUAUUUUAUUCUUUUAAGGACAAAAAAUUGUACUUUUAAUCAUCCUUUUAGAAAGGAGGGAGUAUAUAUAAAGAAAUAGUUAGAUGUUGCUAUCUAUUCGAAUAUAUUCCUUGAUUUUGAUAUUAUGUAUAAUGAUAUUAUUCAGGUAUGACAAAAUAUGAUUAUGGGUUGGUUUUGAUUUACAAAAUUUUAUUAUUGUUUUAUUUAAGAACUAAAAUCACAUUACCUAUUUUUAAUACGAGUUGUGUAGGUUAGAACCAUAUAGUUUGAGUCAAAUAUAAGUCAACCCAUAUUUUAAAUUUCAAACUUAACAUUAUUAUGGUCCAAUUAAAUAAAUUAUUUAUAAUAUUUAAUUUUAUAUUCCUUCAACAAAGUAAUAGAAGACCAUAAGUGAGAUGUUAAAUAUCAGCUUUUGUGGUAUUUCUUGUGAUAAAUUGUACCUCAGGAUUCAAGUAACGAUGCAACUCACGAAUUCAAUUCCUUCAUGUUCCACAAAAGAGAAGGAGUAAUUGUGUUUAAUUAUAACUUUUAUCAUUAGCUCGCGAUAGUGAUUUUGAUCUAAAGGCACCCUUUCUAACUCACCGUCAAAUAAUUUUUUUCCAUGUUUUAAGCUAACAUAUCGAAGCAUAUUAUUAGUAUCGUGUUCACAUGUAUAAAUUUGACCACAAUCUUUACACUUAUCUUUUAAUUUUUCAUCAAUAACUUUUUCAAAUUGGUCCCAAACUAAAGUGGUGCAUUUGUUAGAACGUUUGUACCUAUACUUAUAGAAAUACUUUGUUCAGUGUUCCGUUUGGCGCACACACUUGUAAAUACACUUUGUUUUGUUCUUCCAUGAGAGAAUAUUAUAUCAAAAACCAAAGUCACAACCUGUUUUCACGCACAAAUAAGAUCCAAACUCAUUACAAACUACAAAGUAAUUAUACUUAUGCACAUGCUUAGUCAACAUAGGAACCAAAGUAACAUGCUUUCAACAUUUAUAUAAAUAAGCAUUACCUAUAACUUACAACUUAAGUAAGGUUCUGGGAGAAAAAGAAAAGCCUAAUAAAAAAAAUUACAAAUGGGGUGAUUAGAUAACUUAUCUAUAACUUACAAAAGAACCUGUCAAACAGGACCUCAAAAAGAUUUUAUAAAAUCUUAUACUACUUUUUGUGCAUUGGUUUCAACGGAGUGCAGAACUUUCUCUUUAGCAAUAGAAAGAAACACUACACUACUACUUCGGUGACACGUUUAAUAGUAAGAAAAUAACCAUGCUAUUACAGUAUUCCCAAUAUUGUAACAGAGGAGAAGUCACAUCUGGUUUUGUAUAAAUUCUAUCAAUUAUCCCAAUUUUGAACUUAGCAGUAAGAGCAAUUAAUAUCAUAGCUCUACACCAUUAAUUAUAGUUCUUCACAAUCAGAGUUUCAUUAAUAAGUAACAAACGAGGAUGAUCAGAUGAUGGAUACAUAAAGUAUGAAUGUAAAGCAUCAAUUUGAACCACAUCAGGUAGUUGAUUAUUGUUAUUAUUAUUUUGUUGAUUUUGAGUAACAGCAACAACAAAAGAUCUAGUAUUAGGCAUCUUACUUUUGAAGAACUGAUGCACAAGUAGGAAAUGAAGAUAUAGGGUUUUUGCAGUUCAACUCAAUCGAGAAACAACCAAACAAUGGAAAAUUUGUGUAAUUGAAGCAUUGUAGCAAACAGAUGGUAGAUAGUAACCAAAUACCUGAGAUCAGAAAGGAAGCGAAGGAAGAUCGAAGAUCACCAUAAGCUCUGAUACCAUGUAAGAAUCUUCUAACGGAGAAAGAGAAAAAUAAAUUUCUAACAAAACUUGUUACGAGAAGGGGAGAGACCAAGAUGAAACGAAGAACACGCGAGUCUGGGGAACAGUUAAAGAGAUUUGGAUCUGGAUUUGGAUUAAAAAAUCUGGGUUUGGGUCUAUAUUUUUUUUUAAAAAUACGAGUCUAAAUUUUAUCCGAAUACCUGUUUCACAAAAUUGACUAGCAUUUGAAAUUUGAUAUAGUCACAAGUUUUUUAUUCAGCUGAAAUCCACUAACAAUGAGAAAAAUAAGUAAAACCACUAAAUUGUCAACUUUAGUAUAUGAAGGCGGCUGUCCCAUACACACAUUG
rnacentral:lncRNA from 1 species